UCCACUUUAUCCUUUAAGUAGGUUCCGUCCAUUUCUUGUGCAAUCUGAUUGCAUGGAAGAGGUGAACAAAUACUCAAUUUUGGUACUGAGUAUGUAAGACAUACAGUGUAAUUUUUGGCUAAAAAAAUCAAUUGAAGAAGGGUUCUUCAAUUUCUGCAGAAAAUCAACCCUCCUCUCAAAAAAAUUUCCUUGAGUUCUGCUCAUUUUGGAUUCCACCAUCCAAUUUAAGGUCCAAGAGAAUAGCAGGGAAGAUCAAGUGGUGGUCUACAAGCUUUUGGAGUGAAGCAUCAAGCUGAAUGCGUGGAUUGAAGAAGGUUUUCAAAGAGGAAUAAUGCUCCAAGUAUUUGUGUGUUCCAUUGCUUCAAUUUAUUCGUCCAUGGCUUGUUUCCAAUGAUAAAAUUUGAUGGCUUGAUGGAAAUAUGAUGGCUCAAAUACAGUUGUGACAUUUAAAAGAAAAUGCUUGUGUGAAGCUGCAAGAUUAUCAUAGGAUAAAUCGUUACUCAUUGGAUAAACAGAUGGUUAUUUCACUAGUUGGCCAAGUGUAGUAGAUUGCAACAAUAAUCUUAAAGGAAACUUGGAGGAUUAUGCACUAUGGAUGAUCUUUUUAAAGGAGCAUUUACGACUUCAAUGUGUUCUCGAGCAUCAACAAAAGUCGUCUCUUGAAUAUUAGAAGGUUGUGGAUCUUCAAUUGUAGACUACUGGUUCAAGGGUCGUGUGUUAUUAACAAGCAGUUCACUGAUGUCUUUAGCUUGACUUGUUGUAGUAGCAGGAACAAUAACUGCUCCUUGUUCAAAUUCUAUUGAAAUAAUAUCUGGCGUUGGAGAAGGAAGAACAAAGUCUCCAAAUAGCUCAUUUUCUUCAGGAUCUUUUGGUGUUGCUUUGUUGAGAAAACAGAAGGUUGUUUCAUGAAAGACAACAUCCCUUGAUAUUAGGACUUGAUGCUUUUGAAAAUCAUAUAAACGAUAUGCUUUCAUUCCAGGUGGAUAUCCAAUAAAGAUACAUGGGCGUGAUCAUGGCUCAAACUUGGUUAUGUGAUUCACCAAUGUAGACACAUAGCAGAGACAUCCAAAAACACUCAUAAAAUCAUAUUCAUCUGGUUUAUCAUGAAGAAUGUAGUAAAGAGAUUUGUUGUUUAGCAGAGGUACAGGAGCUCCGUUGAUUAUAUAUGUAGCUAUGAGUACACAAUCGCCAAAUCUCAAAAGGAACUCCUGACUGGAAGAGUAUAGCUCGGGCCAUGUUCAAUAAAUGUUGGUACUUUCUCUCAGCAACAGAGUUUUAUUAUGGUCUUUCUACACAAGAAAUUGGUGAAUAGUUCCCUUUGAUGCAAAAAAUUCAGUAAAUUGUAGUUCGGGUGCAAUUUCUUGUUGGGUUUGAUGUCUUAAAACUCGUAGUUAGUAAAUGUAAAUAAUUGAUCGUCGUCAAUAAGAGUUGUCAAUGUUAUUUCAAUAAGUGUUAUUAAUUGUGUUGUAUAUUAUUUUGUCUAAAUAACCCUAAGUCCAAUAAACUAAAAUCCUAGGUUGUCUUA